rnacentral:rRNA from 1 species
UACGUAGGGUGCAAGCGUUAAUCGGAAUUACUGGGCGUAAUGCGUGCGCAGGCGGUUGGUUAAGUCAGAUGUGAAAGCCCCGGGCCCAACCUGGGAAUUGCAUUUGAAACUGGCCAACUAGAGUAUGUGAGAGGGGGGUAGAAUUCCAAGUGUAGCGGUGAAAUGCGUAGAGAUUUGGAGGAAUACCAGUGGCGAAGGCGGCCCCCUGGCACAAUACUGACACUGAGGUGCGAAAGCGUGGGGAGCAAACAGG